GCUCCCCCCAGGACAUCGCAGCCGUGAGGAGCCAGGCAGCCCUCCAGAGUAUGCGGACGUCACGGCUGAUGGCACAGAACUCAGGCAUGAUGGGCAUGGGACCCUCCCAGAACCCAGGGACCAUGGCCACAGCUGCUGCCCAGUCUGAGAUGGGACUGGCCCCUUACAGCAGCACACCCACCAGCCACACAGGAAUGUACAGCAUGAGCACAGGGAUGACCCAGAUGUUGCAGCACCCAAACCAAAGUGGCAUGAGCAUCACACACGGCCAAGCCCAUGGACCGAGGCAGCCUGCUUCCGGCCAAGGAGUUGGGAUGGCGAAGCCAUUUCUCCACUUCCGGGAGACCUGUCCUAAGAUCCCCGUGAGACUUUACAAAGCACAGUAAGACAACAUAUCUCAAAACCAUCUGGGUUAAGCUGAGAAACAGACCGAAGAAUAAAGCCAGCAUAAGAAAAAAGGAUCCAAAAUGAAGCUGAGUUUUUUUUUUUUUUUUAUUGAGUUUAUUGGUACAUUUAGGGAUAC
rnacentral:lncRNA from 1 species